GGUCUGGUGGUCUAGUGGUAUGAUUCCUCUUUCGGGUUACUCCCCCAAUUCGUUAGAAUUGAAUAUAGAGGAGGUCCCGGGUUCAAUCCCCGGCCAGACCC
rnacentral:tRNA from 1 species